UAUGUCUCACAGAUUGAAAUUUAACGAAGAGAAUAGAUCUUCGUGCUAUGGAAAACGGCAUGCGAUUCGAGUACUUAUUGGAUGUUCAAUAAUAAUAUCUCUCAAGCAAGAGUCUGCUACGAAAAGUCAUACAGAUGAAUCCAUUAGCAGUCCUCGGAUAAAAGUUACAAACUCGUCCUCCACCUUCCUAGAAAAAUUAAAGUCCCAUGACAAAUUUCGAUAUUCUGACGCAAAAGCUCUGAAACGUUUUCGAAGUACCAUAUUUAUCUUCGGACAUCUCAUAGAACAUGAUGUCAACGUGUUUUCUUGCGAGAAAGGAGGGAAAGUUCGCGCGAACAAGGUGUUUCACGUCCAUUUUCUACUUUCGUCCUGCGUUACUGAGCCUAUCAACCAUUUAUAAAAAAUGAUAAGGAAGAACGGCAGGCCCGGUCAGAUACAAAUUACCGGUGUGUUGCGUCAAGUUAGAUGGAAACUAGCCUUGGGAAUUGAGGGAGGCGCACAGGGAAAUCGCUAUACACCUUUUACCUCCAUCUACUGCAUCCUCCUUACUAAACAUUUAUCCUCUCUGUGCGAGUCCCUGCCCUUUCUAACUUUUCUAUAAUAGGACCAGUGUAACAUUGAUCAAGAACUGCAAGUUACCCCAAUCUCCUUGGUGAGUGUGUACAUUCUGCUGUCAAACUCAUUAGGAUGCAGCAGAUACUCGAUCGAAUCAUUGUUUCAUGCCACUGCGACAAUUCUCCUUUUCGCUUAACGUUCGCUCUGUCUCAAAGAAGAGGAACGUUCACGAAAG